rnacentral:lncRNA from 1 species
CUUUUUUUGUCAAGAUUUGUAAGCUAUGACAUUAAAAAUAUGGCUAAAUUAUCCCAGAUGAUUCUAUUACAAAAUUCACCUAAGUUGCUGACAUCUAAUGAAGCUGGCGAUACCCACACUUCCUCUCUCACUAGCACUGAACUCUAGUUAAUUGACCUGACAAAAUUACAAGAAUCACAGUAAAAGACAGCUAAUCAGAAAAUCAAAUUGUAUUACUAGAGAAAUUAGGCAGGGCCUUAUCACUUAGACAUUCUAUUUUCACAAGAAAAAAAAAAUAAUGUUUUCCCUUAUUACUGAUCACUUUCUAUCUGGAAGUCAAAUGACAGACUUUAUUUCCUUUUGGAUUCAAGAGGUCCAGAAGAGCCAUUCAUUUGAUUCUCUGUGGGUGGUAAUAUUUGCAUGUGGCAUGUUCCUACUGUCCCUGAAUUUGAGACUAUAGUCAUGUACUUUGGGGCACAUUACAGUUUAACAAAUGAAUUGAAUCUUAACUUCUAAUGAAGAAGAGAAAGCCAACCAGAACUUCACAGUCCCUUUCAAGUGGCACAUUUACUUCCAUCAACUGAACAUCCAUCGAAGUCUAUAGAUCACAAUAACAACAAGCAAACAACCCUCAGUCCACCCAGCCCCUCUGUAUCUUUCCAUAUACUCUCAAUAAUAAAUAUAGUGAAUUAUUUUCCUCUUUUUUUUUUUGCCUACUAAUGUAAUCUAGUAUCCAAAAAUUCUGAUGACACCAUCUUGAGUAUCCCUAAAUUCUAAUUACCUACCACCUGGCAAAGAUAAAAAAAAUGCAAAUCAUAAACUUAUCAGUAAAAUUGUGUUUAAAUAAAAUAUUUACCAAUUCUUACCAAAAUAAUGAAAUUUACAUUACUAUAAGUUUCUGUAUUUUCUAAUAAAAUAAUCCUCAGAGAUUUCUCAAAUACACAUGCAAACCAAGGUACAGAUUCACUUUCAUUAAACUAGACACUUUUCAUUUAUACUUAUCCCAUUUUCAAAAAGGUUCAGUUCACUGAAUUCAAGAAAGAAAAAAAUAAGAAUGUUUACAAAUAAAUGAAUAAUUUUGUUUACCCUGAUUUAAAAUUUGUGUUUGGCUUUCCAGUGGUACUACAAGCUGCUAUUUGCUUUCAAUCACAGAAUACAAUAGCGCCUUGGCUCUAUCCCUUGUGUAAACAAACUCUGAUAAUUCCAAUCAAGUGAAAAUGACAAAGAACACUGAAAUGAACUAGUUUUCACAGAUUUCUUUAAUAAGCACGAGUGAAUGUAUACCACACACAGUGGCAGAAAUAUUGGAGCUUGAUAAUGUCAUAAUUAAUUUACACGAUCUGAUUAAACCUCCAACUAUUUUAACUCUCCUCUUUCCUGAAAGCACAACGGGAGGGGAGGGCUUGCAAAAGGGAGGCUAUCUCAGAAAAUCUGUAGGUGUUGCUGAAAUGCUUGGGUAGAGGAGGCUACUAUUCACCCAGGACACACCAGUAAGAGCAGCCAUGUUUAUACCAUGUUAACUAAGAACAUGCAUUGUGUGUGUUUAUUAUCCUUGUAUGCUCCAAGACCAUAAUGGUUAUUCUGAGUUUUGGAAGAAUGAAUGUUAUGAUUCCAAACUGUUUUUUUUAUUCAUUAUGAGAGCCUCAUGAUAUGCCUCUGUGUCAAAGAUCAACACAUAUUCUUACAUGCAAAGCUGAGCGGAUGCUGUCUCUCACUGUGGCAAUUUCAAUUAGUUUUGUGUGAGUUUCAGUAGUCAUCGUUCCAGAGAAGCAAUGGAUGUGACAAAGAGGACUCCGUUAAACAAUUAAUGUCACUUUCCAUUAUUGCUCUGGUCCCAAUUUACAGAGCAAAUAAAUCAAAGUCGCCGCAGAUGAAGCACAGCAGCCUAUACACACAUGUCUGCUGAUAUGUAACAGAGAAUGGCACUGCAUGAGCGAGCCUGGUGACAUUCCAAGGUGACAC